rnacentral:lncRNA from 1 species
UCUUAUUAUCUGCCAACGACUGAAUCUGCUGUGACCCCUGGAAAGUGCCAGUAGCUGUGGAUUGAAUGAGUGAGAGAAUGAAGCAGGUCAAGAAGGCACGCUGGGAGCCAUCCGCGUAUGGCAUAUGUGGCCAGAAGAUAUUCCUGCAACACCAACUUGUUCCACGGGAGAUGACCCUGCCGGGCUUCCUUCUCUCUUGACCUGGGACAUCGAGGGGCAGGGCUGCAUCCUAAAUGUACCAGCAGUCCUAUACCACAGCCACAGCCACACCAGAUUCGAGCUGAGUCUAUGACCUACACUGCAACUCAUGGCAACGCUGGAUCCUUAACCCACUGAGUGGGGCCAGGGAUUGAACCCACAUACUAACAGAUGCUAGUCAGGUUCGUUACCGAGGAGCCAUACAGGAACUCUUCUCAUUCUUUUAAUUGGGUGGUGGGCUUAUUGAGUUGGGGUUCUUUACAUAUAUCCUGGAGUUUUUCAUCUGGCACAGGUUUUGUGAAUAUUUUCUCAUAGUUGUGCCUGUUAAGUCUCUCUCAAAGAGCAGGUGUUUCCAAUUUUGAUAAGGUCCCAUUUAUCCAUUUUUUUCUUACAUGGCUUUUUUUCUCAUGUCGGAGAAGUAUUUGCCUGCCCUCGGGUUCUGAAGUUGUUCCUGUUUUGUUUUGUUUUGUUUUUUUCCCCUGGUACUUCUUUAGGCUUAAGUUUUAUGUUCAAGUCAAUACAGGGUUUUGAGCCACAAGCUGAUAUAACCUGGGGACAUAUGUGGUGAGAGCAUCCCUGUGCUGUUUUGAGAUGAGACUGGUGGGCAGAAUGCAGCUUUGAGGAUGUUCGUGAGGCUACUGCAGGGAUCUAGGCAGGGAGCACCAGGCGGGGGGGUGGGGGGGUGGGGAGGAGCACAGAAAUUCUGGAAAUAUGAGGUUUUCAAUCGGCUUCUUCAUCUGUCCUUCAUGAAUCAUAUCCAGCUUUAAGGACAGUGACUUCCAUCCUCUAAAACCCCCUGUCCUCAUCAUCUUACACAAGGCCAAAUGUAUACACAGAAUUUGCCUUGAGCCUGAAUGUUUGCUGUGCCUUUAACUUAUGUUCACUUUUUUAAAGUAAAAAAACCUGGUUUUAAGUUUUAAUCCACAUAUUGUCAUUCUGCAGGCACAGCAGCCCCAAAGACAAGCUGCCAGUUCACCUCCACAUUCAUGAAAGGUUAAAAAAAGGAAACCAAUACAUUUCACAUCAUGCUGCAUGGCGCUUCUGCGGGGUAGGAUCCGCCAACCCACAUCUCUGCCUCGGCCACUUCAAUUCCCAUCUGAUCCUUUCUUCAGCUCAUGAUGUAUGGCUCUCAGUUCCUCCUGUUGCCAGAUUCAUAAACGUAGCUGUUCUUUCUUUAGCUACCUAUUUUGCACGCCAGGCACCACGACAGUAAAUGUAUUGUCUAUGAGUUGCUACUUUGAAAAAUGACGUCAAUGCAAAGUGAUUGCCUUUUGGCCUUGGGAGCCAAUAAAUUAAUUUUUUUUUGGU